GCUAUUUACUCACACAAACGAGUGGAAAGCUAAGAAAAAAAAGAGGAUCAAAGCAACUGCUUUUGCACCAAACUGAAAGAAAGAAUUUGUUUAUUUUAUCAACUCACAGCAGUCGUUUCCACAACUGCGCUGUGAAAGCGCUUCCUUUUGUUGUUCUGCACCAGAAAGGGCUGAAACUUGAGACAAAAGGCUGCAACGAAAACCUGCAAGAGUUACAAGGCUUGUGUGUGUGUGUGUGUGUGUGUGUGCACGCAUGGAGGGUUAAGUGUCGAAGAUCCUCUGUGCACGAUCACGGCCGCGGGCACGGAGCCAAAAUGGCCUCAUGUUUCGCAGAUGGGGCGAGGCGGAUGAGGGUUUCAGACGCAUUGCCUCACCCAGAAGCCCCAGGCUAAAAAGCUGCAACGAGCUGGAAUCGGACCAGAUGAGGAGAGAGGUGGGGGUGGAGAGGAAUCUGAACUGCCGGGGACACUCCUACAUGUUUCAAAAUCUUUUAAAAAACACUUUUACCUCAGGGGAUUUUGGCAUCCAGAUUCAUCUUUUCCUUUCAUGUAAAACGUCUGACUCAACUCUGAAGCCAUUAAUCCCUUUUUCAUUUUGACAACAAGCGUUUGUUGAUUCCAGGCGUCUGCUAGUAAAACAUCUGUUUAAUGAAA